rnacentral:snRNA from 1 species
AUCGCUUCUUGGCCUUUUGGCUAAGAUCAAGUCUA